rnacentral:rRNA from 1 species
AUGGACAUACCGCUGGUGUACCAGUUGUUCCGCCAGGAGCAUAGCUGGGUAGCUACGUAUGGAAAGGAUAAGUGCUGAAAGCAUCUAAGCAUGAAGCCCCCCUCAAGAUGAGACUUCCCAUCAUUUUAAAUGAGUAAGAUCCCUCAGAGACGAUGAGGUUAAUAGGUUUGAGGUGGAAGCGUGGCGACACGUGGAGCUGACAAAUACUAAUCGAUCGAGGACUUAACUAAAUUCUU